GUGAGUUUGCGACUCAGGGUAUUGUAAAUAUAAAUGAAGAUGUAAAGAAGCGGCAUCAUGGGUGGACAGAGACUCUUCGUGAGUUGCAUGUCCUCCAGCGUGCCUAUGCCAGUGGAUCAAUUAUCUCAAUCAAGUGGAGAUUUGCUUCCUGCUCUUGCUGUGGGAGGAGUCACGGAGAUACAAGCAUUACUACUUGGUGGUGUGGGUGAAAAGAUAUUUCAUACGCAAUGCAACUCAGCGAAGAAGCAUCCAUCGUUUGGAUUUUUUUUGAAACAUAGAUGCACGCGUGCAGUGCGUCUAUAUAGAGUGCUUUGGCGUCCUGAUGUUUUCCUUUUAGCAGUAGCUAGAACCUGUAAGAUCAGUGCUUGACUUUAUGUAGUGGAGUCAGAACGGUAUUAUAUUACGUAGUGUGUGAAUCAAAUGUGAAUUGCUUAGUAAAAAGUACUUGCAAUAUGUAAAACAUGCAAAUCACUAUCUUGGUUCGAUCGUUUGCGAAACAGUGUAAAAUAGAGUAGUA
rnacentral:lncRNA from 1 species